rnacentral:lncRNA from 1 species
AUCGCCUAUGUGAGGCCGAUCUUUAGACCUAGAUUCCCCUUUGCCUAUGUGAGAUUCUCUCACAUAGAAGUAACCUUCUCAUACAAAUUGAUAACCUUUAACCUCGUUUCUCGUUAAUGUAACCUCUCCAACCCUCUUUCUCAGGAACCUUCUUACAUAGAUCGAGAAAAUGUAACUCUUGUGCAUGCGAGACGGUGAGUCGAACUCUUGACCGGUUGCUUCCCAUAAUGGGAAAAUCUAACUCUUAUAUGCAUGUGAGGCGGUGAGUCGAACUUCCGACCGGUUGCUUCCCAUGACAUGGUUCUAACCACCAAGCUAUUAGCUCGUUCGUCCACUUGAAUCAAUGAUUUAUAUAUGAUGUUAGUUAAAUUUUAGAUAGCACUUUAAAUAUGAGAAGUAACCUUCUCAUACAAAUUGAUAACCUUUAACCUCGUUUCUCGUUAAUGUAACCUUCUUACAUAGAUCGAGAAAAUGUAACUCUUGUGUAUGCGAGACGAUGAGUCGAACUCUUGACCGGUUGCUUCCCAUGAUGGGAAAAC